GGCUGGGAAGCCUGGAGCGGGACUCUGGCAGCAGCGCGCUGUAACAAGCAGGGAAGGAAAAGUUGAACUCUCCUGAAGAUGUCCCAAGGAAAUAAUUUUGAACUGUUGGAUGGAAUCCUCUCCUCCUUAGAUGCAUUGAAGACGGCAGCAAAGGCAUACCAUUGAACAAGUUGUCCCGAGAUCCUGGGAUGAAGUCCAGCUGGAACCAAAGACUUGCCAACUGGAAGUUCCAUCAGUUUGCUCAGCGCCACUUCAUAGAAUCCCUUCAUUGUGGAACAGGCCAUUCGGCCCAUCGAGUGAACAC